rnacentral:lncRNA from 1 species
UCAAACCAAAAUAACGUUCUUUUCCAAAAAUUUCAGCAACUCUUAGUCAAGGAUUCAUUUUGGAAUUAUUAGCAAUAAACCAUGUAAGGAUUGUGUUAUCUUGUAAAAUAUACAAAUGGAUGAAGUUGAAAGCUCUACCCGUCCUUCUCUAUUCAUGCAUAAGGAAUGGCCAUGAUCACUAACAGCAGAUGUUGGGUCACAUUUGUUACCAAUUACCAAAAUUGGUGGCCAACACCAUGUGUUAUAGGCCUAUGAUAUGGUGUUGAAGUACUACUAGCAUGCUGACAUAGAGUUGUUAUUUUGCAUCUAUUUCCUUGGAUAUUAUGACAAUCUCACCUCAAUCGUACAUGAAAUGAUUCAAGCUCAACACAGAAUCCAUAGAUUAAAGACUCAUGUCAUAAAUCUAUUCAUAAUGGGUUGGCUUUUGUAUUUUUUUCUACUUUGAUCCGCCAUUAGGCAAUUAACGUUGUUAGAGAAAUUGUCAAGAGAACCGGCUCAGGUAUGUUAAGGCUAAGCUCUUCCUUCAUUUUGCAUGAUCUUGCCAUUAUACAAGUUUGAUAACGAAGCAUAAAGAAAAAUUCAUAUCCCAAAAUUUACGUAUAAUUUGCUAGUCUCGCAAGUUACGUAUUUUUGUAGUUUUGUAACUCCUUAUGGGGAAUUCAUAUCACUUGAGUAUUUCCUUCUUCAAUUUAAGAGAGCAGAGAGUUUACAUAUAUACAGUAUUAAAAGUAUUUUCAUUACCAUCGAGCUAUAAUCGAUGGGCAGGCCCCUAUUGGGCAACCUCUGAUAAGAUGGUAAGUUAUAUACCGAGCCUACUGUGUCCAAACGCUUAUGAGAGAGCCAAGUUGGUCGAGAUAAAGAGCCUAGUAUGGCCGAGCGCUUAUGAGAGAGCCUACUACGGCAGAGCAGAUAUAUAUGUAUACCGAGCCUUAUAGGGACGGACAACUAUUUUACUUACUAUAUUGAGAGAAUUGAGUCAGUAUCAGCAGGUAAGCAUAUCUUCAGAUUAUCUUUGACUUCCAACUACUUGCAGUUAUAUAUAUUCAGUUCAGUUUCAACUUUCAGUAUAUUGCCUUACAUACUCACUACAUUAUUUCGUACUGACGUCCCUUUUCUGGGUGCAUUUCAUGCAUGCAGGUCAGACAGACAUACGAGUAGGCCUCUUCAAUAAGUGUUGCCCGAGCUCAGCUUGAUCGGUAAUCUCCAUGCCUUUCGGAGUUUCCGGGUCUAGAGUCUUAUGUAUAUCUUGUAUAAAUACGUAUAUAUGUCAUGAGUAGGUCAGAUAGCUGUUCCAAUCAUAGUAUAUCCAUUAGUAGAGGCUUGUAGACAUAUCUUGUCAGUUAGUGCAGUAUGUUGGGCUUUCAGGCCUUGUAUGUAUAUUGUUAGUUGUAAUAAAUAUGACGGCCUUGUUGGCCAAGCUUUAUAUUCAUAUUUAGUCAGCAUUCGUUGUCAUCUUGCAAUGUGGCCCAUGGACAAAAGUAUGACAUCAUAUGUUCAGAGUCCCUUAGUUGCAAGUUGGUACGCAAG